UGACAUAGAACAAACCAGCUCUUAUUACAAAAAUAAAUACAAAGGUUCACAUCAGCAUGGCGACACUAUGCCUGCGAUACUACACUUGCUCUAUGCUAGCAGCGAAACAACUCGUAGCAGCGGAAAUCUUCUAGCAGCGGAACAACGACGAAGGUGGUGAACUCCACUCUGCAGGGACCCUGGCUGGGACACAAUCUAGCUCACACGAACGGAAACCACGACAAGCAAAUCAAGCAAUCACGGCAUCACCUGCAAUCUGGCAUGACACAUCAGGUCAGUACAUUGAAUGUACUUGCAAGCUCGCAACAACCAAAAACAUCAAGGGAAGACAACAACAUAGCAUUAAGCAGGUUAAUUAAAUUAACAGCUACCAUGAUACAAUAGCAACUCCUAAGCAUAAUAUGAAACUACUACAAUACUGAUAAAUCACCAUCUCCGAUCUCCAUAACCAUAUCUCUCUUGGCUAACCGGCCAAGCAAUAAACCAUCUCGAUCACCUCGUGAUCAAAACCAAACUGUAACCGUGAUCCUUACGGCGAUCACAACCAGACCAAUGAAUGGCCCGUGAUCCUUACGACGAUCAUAGCCCGACCAAUAAAUGGCCCGUGAUCCUUACAGUGAUCACAACCCGGCCAAUAAAUGGCUCGUGAUCCUUACGGCGAUCACAACCCGACCAAUAAAUGGCCCGUCUGUACUGCUCCAAAUAUCCACAUAUCCAUUAACUAUACGUCAUUCCGUCAUGUGAGUGUUGAUCGAACGGUGUACCCUAGUACGAACCCAUGCCCAUGACCGAGGAAGUGGCUAUCGAUAGAUUAAACACACACUCUGCAUAGGUAGCGCACUGUACCCACACCACAGAACCCAUGGCCUCGCACUCCCAUUCGGGUGGACCAACGGUGUUCCGACAAAACCGAUCUACUGCCAUGACACACUCCCGGCCACUCCGACUCACUCCCCACUGGGCUAGUCAUGGGUGGCCCCGUGUCUACCUCCAGACACAACGACCACCGUCGUGGCCCGGUCCACUCUGGGACCCUCGCGUAAAAUCAAAUCAAACCGGGCACACAAGGCUUAUGUCUGCCUACCUGAUCAGGGUAGCGCGCGCCCAUAACCUUCCCUUGUUGAAGGCACCGGUGAGAGGCACGACAAUAGACCGCAUUAGGGCCGUCCCAUACCGGCAAAUGUGGUUGCACUGGAAAAGUUCGAUUCGGCGGCACCUGACCAACUUACUGAUGGAAUCAAAACUAUAACCAUGAUAACUGAUACUCCGAUGUCAACCAUCAAACUAUAAUCCAAGUCAUAGCAAUAUCCAACAAAUAAUCCAAGCAUAAUAUCAUCAUACCAAAAUACUCCGAGGAUAGCACAACACUACUAUCAUGAUGAAUCCGAAACAAUAAUCCUACUACUCCAACAACAAGAAUACAGCUAUCCAGCUAAGAUCCACAUGUAACCAUCAUCUCCAAAAAUAAUACUCCAAGCAACAGAACAUCAACUAGCAUCAUGAAAAUAAUCAUACUAACCACUAC
rnacentral:lncRNA from 1 species